rnacentral:rRNA from 1 species
CACGUAGGGCGCGAGCGUUGUCCGGAAUUAUUGGGCGUAAAGAGCUCGUAGGCGGCCUGUUGCGUCCGCUGUGAAAGCCCGGGGCUUAACCCCGGGUCUGCAGUGGAUACGGGCAGCGUAGAGGUAGGUAGGGGAGAAUGGAAUUCCCGGUGUAGCGGUGAAAUGCGCAGAUAUCAGGAGGAACACCGGUGGCGAAGGCGGGUCUCUGGGCCGAUACUGACGCUGAGGAGCGAAAGCGUGGGGAGCGAACAGG